UACGUGAGGGCGCAAGCGUUGUCCGGAAUUAUUGGGCGUAAAGAGCUCGUAGGUGGCUUGUCGCGUCGUGCCGCUGAAAGCCCAUGGCUUAACUGUGGGUCGACGGUGGAUACGGGCUGGCUAGAGGUAGGAGGGCAAGCGGAAUUCCUGGUGUAGCGGUGAAAUGCGCAGAUAGUCAGGAGGAACGACCGGUGGCGAAGGCGGCUGC
rnacentral:rRNA from 1 species